rnacentral:rRNA from 1 species
AUGAACGCUGGCGGCAGGCCUAACACAUGCAAGUCGAACGGGUGCCUUCGGGUGCUAGUGGCGGACGGGUGAGUAACGCGUGGGAACAUACCCUUUGGUACGGAAUAGCCUCGGGAAACUGAGAGUAAUACCGUAUGUGCCCUUCGGGGGAAAGAUUUAUCGCCAAAGGAUUGGCCCGCGUUGGAUUAGGUAGUUGGUGGGGUAAUGGCCUACCAAGCCGACGAUCCAUAGCUGGUUUGAGAGGAUGAUCAGCCACACUGGGACUGAGACACGGCCCAGACUCCUACGGGAGGCAGCAGUGGGGAAUCUUAGACAAUGGGGGAAACCCUGAUCUAGCCAUGCCGCGUGAUCGAUGAAGGCCUUAGGGUUGUAAAGAUCUUUCAGAUGGGAAGAUAAUGACGGUACCAUCAGAAGAAGCCCCGGCUAACUCCGU